UAAGUUGAAGUUUAAUGUUUGAGCAUCUGGCCGUUAACCAGGGAGAAGUGGGGUUAGAACCUGCCAACUUAA
rnacentral:tRNA from 1 species